rnacentral:lncRNA from 1 species
CCUGAGGUCCCUGGGAGGAACAUGAAUCUCUCCUCAUAAGUCUGCAUAUUUCCCGUCUCUGCUCCCUUAAGGUCUCUGACUUCCAGCCAGGGAGGACAGAUUGUCUAGAGGCUGUUGCAGGCUCAGCACCCACAGGUGGAACCAGUUUUUCAAGAGUGCCAACGCAUGCCUGGUCAUAGGACUACUAUAAACACAUGAAUGUUUGGGACAAGCCACCUCCACAGCACUGAUUCUGC